UACGAAGGGGGCUAGCGUUGCUCGGAAUGACUGGGCGUAAAGGGCGCGUAGGCGGAUUGUUUAGUUAGGCGUGAAAUUCCUGGGCUUAACCUGGGGACUGCGCUUAAUACAGGCAGUCUAGAGUGAGGAAGAGGGUUGUGGAAUUCCCAGUGUAGAGGUGAAAUUCGUAGAUAUUGGGAAGAACACCGGUGGCGAAGGCGGCAACCUGGUCCUUGACUGACGCUGAGGCGCGAAGGUCAGGGGAGCAAACGGG
rnacentral:rRNA from 1 species